rnacentral:tRNA from 1 species
GGGCCCGUAGCUCAGUUCGGUUAGAGCGACCGGCUCAUAACCGGUCGGUCGAGUGUUCAAAUCACUCCGGGCCCA